UAAUAAGCAUGAUCAAUAUGGGCAUUAUCUUACUAAAUGCCGCAUUCUUCCAACACGCCUCAUUCUAUCCAGUGAGUCAAUAAAGGCUGCUACGCAUCUCUCAGUCUUGGCUACAGAGCCACAAAUGCAGCUCUUCAGAAACAGCUCAAACAAGAGUUAAGAACAUGCCAUGAUCCGGUACUCUGUAUCUCAGUAUCUCAAAGUGUUUGAUAUCCUUAUCCAGGAUAUAGAGAGCCUCACAGAAACUCAAGCAACACGAACAGGCACAACACUCAUGUCUACAGUCUGGAUCCUACUGCGUGUCAGCUGAGCCAUAGUCAGUGACCUUGCACAUACUGGAAGCCUGCAGCAAGGUAUAUGUUGCUCUUCCAUGUCUUUGCUGAAGUUGAAGAAUAUAUUUGGACGUGCAUAUAUGGCUUGGUGAAGCAAGGCCACUU